rnacentral:rRNA from 1 species
UACGAAGGGGGCUAGCGUUGCUCGGAAUGACUGGGCGUAAAGGGCGCGUAGGCGGCUGUGCCAGUCAGAUGUGAAAUUCCCGGGCUUAACCUGGGGGCUGCAUUUGAUACGUGUUGUCUUGAGUUCGGAAGAGGGUCGUGGAAUUCCCAGUGUAGAGGUGAAAUUCGUAGAUAUUGGGAAGAACACCGGUGGCGAAGGCGGCGACCUGGUCCGACACUGACGCUGAGGCGCGAAAGCGUGGGGAGCAAACGGG